rnacentral:miRNA from 1 species
GUGCUCCGCUCUGGCCGCCUGGAGAGGAGCUCUAAGGGCUGGGCUGGUCGGCAUCCGG